rnacentral:SRP_RNA from 1 species
CCGUGCUAGGCGGGGUGCUAGCGGUGCCCUGUACCCGCAAUCCGCUCUAGCGGGGCUGAAUCCCCUCCCGAGGGGCACAGGCCCCGGGUCAGCGCCCCGGCUCGAGGCGUUGAUGGUUCGGUCCCGUUGCGAUGGGAGCCCGUGAACCAGGUCAGAUCCGGAAGGAAGCAGCCUUAAGCGGUAACCCCCAGGCGCGACGGGAGCGCCGGAUCUGAGCCUCGAGGCAGUGGCAGCGUCCCGGGUACCGGCCACGACGGAGGGUGCACGG